rnacentral:rRNA from 1 species
GUGAGGAAUAUUGGUCAAUGGGCGAGAGCCUGAACCAGCCAAGUCGCGUGAAGGAAGACGGCCCUACGGGUUGUAAACUUCUUUUGCAAUGGAAUAAAAAGAGUUACGUGUAAUUCAUUGUAUGUACAUUGCGAAUAAGGAUCGGCUAACUCCGUGCCAGCAGCCGCGGUAAUACUGAGGAUCCGAGCGUUAUCCGGAUUUAUUGGGUUUAAAGGGUGCGUAGGCGGAUUGGAAAGUCAGCGGUGAAAGUUUGCAGCUUAACUGUAAAAUUGCCAUUGAAACUGUCAGUCUUGAGUGCAAAUGAGGUAGGCGGAAUGUGUUGUGUAGCGGUGAAAUGCAUAGAUAUAACACAGAACACCAAUUGAGAAGGCAGCUUACUGGGAUGCAACUGACGCUGAGGCACGAAAGCGUGGGGAUCAAACAGGAUUAGAAACACGAGUAGUCC